rnacentral:rRNA from 1 species
UACGUAGGGUGCAAGCGUUAAUCGGAAUUACUGGGCGUAAAGCAUCCGUAGCCGGUCCUGCAAGUCUUCCGUUAAAUCCAGCUGCUCAACAGAUGGGCUGCGGGGGAUACUACAGGGCUAGGAGGCGGGAGAGGCAAGCGGUACUUUAUGGGUAGGGGUAAAAUCCGUUGAUCCAUAGAAGACCACCAGUGGCGAAGGCGGCUUGCCAGAACGCGCUCGACGGUGAGGGAUGAAAGCUGGGGGAGCAAACCGG